UACGGAGGAUCCAAGCGUUAUCCGGAUUCAUUGGGUUUAAAGGGUGCGUAGGCGGAUUUAUAAGUCAGUGGUGAAAGCCUGUUGCUUAACAACAGAACUGCCAUUGAUACUGUAAGUCUUGAGUACAUUUGAUGUGGGCGGAAUGUGUCAUGUAGCGGUGAAAUGCUUAGAUAUGACACAGAACACCGAUUGCGAAGGCAGCUCACAAAACUGUAACUGACGCUGAGGCACGACAGCGUGGGGAUCAAACAGG
rnacentral:rRNA from 1 species